rnacentral:misc_RNA from 1 species
AGUUGGCGAGGGAGAAGGGCACGUAGGAGGUGCACGUGUCGGAGGAGCACGCGAUGGGGGCCCACGACCUGGACGCGGCGGCGCGGAACACCCGCCGCGGCGCAUCGCCGGUCCCGUCGCCGGCGCCGCUGCACUUGACCCAGGUGAGGUCGCUGCCGGUGUCCGCCACCAGCACGAACGGCUGCGCGGGGGUGCCCACGCGGAACCGCACGAAGUACUGGCCCGUGCCGGUGUAGGCCCCCGACGAGAGCGGCAUGGCGAACGCGGACGCGGACGCGGACGCGCCCACCUCGGCGGCGCGGCGCCCGCGGGUGCGGGACGCCGCCAGCAGCUGCGACCGGAUGUACGCGUGGCGGCGCGCGUCGUCCCUCGCGCGGUCGGGCAGGGACGCGCCCGGCGCGGCGGGAACGAGCUCCAGCCGCGGCCGCGGCCGCGGCCGCGCCGGCUUUCCCCGCCUCCCGUGCGCCUGGUGUCGCGCGCCGCUCGCCGCCGCCGCCGACGACGACGCCAGGACGAGCAGCGCUAGCAGCAGGUGGCCGCGCGACGCCAUUUCUUUGAUCCUUGUUUCACUUCCCGGCCCUCCUUGCUUGCUCGUGCUCCGAUCCCCUUCACGCCGCGUCCCUCACACCGUCACACGACGGCAGCAGUGGCCAGCGCAGACCCACGGGGUUCUUCUGCUACGCACUGGGAAGAGGAGCAGCAGCGCCCAUUUUCGCCUCCGCGCGCCACCUCUCCGCACGAGCUUUCUCUCGCGUCGUCGCGUGCUCGUAUUCGAACUCGAAGGCGAAGAAGAAGAAGAGGUGGCUGGAGCAGAGCUUUUUGGUUGCGUCCGUGACGGCGAGGGGAGCGAGACCGAGACGGCGUCUUUUAUAAACGGGAAAACAAAAA